AACGAACGCUGGCGGCAGGCUUAACACAUGCAAGUCGAGCGCCCCGCAAGGGGAGCGGCAGACGGGUGAGUAACGCGUGGGAAUCUACCCAUCUCUACGGAACAACUCCGGGAAACUGGAGCUAAUACCGUAUACGUCCUAAGGGAGAAAGAUUUAUCGGAGAUGGAUGAGCCCGCGUUGGAUUAGCUAGUUGGUGGGGUAAUGGCCUACCAAGGCGACGAUCCAUAGCUGGUCUGAGAGGAUGAUCAGCCACACUGGGACUGAGACACGGCCCAGACUCCUACGGGAGGCAGCAGUGGGAAUAUUGGACAAUGGGCGCAAGCCUGAUCCAGCCAUGCCGCGUGAGUGAUGAAGGCCCUAGGGUUGGUAAAGCUCUUUCAACGGUGAAGAUAAUGACGGUAACCGUAGAAGAAGCCCGGCUAACUCGUGCCAGCAGCCGCGGUAAU
rnacentral:rRNA from 1 species